rnacentral:misc_RNA from 1 species
AACGCAUAUUGCGCCCCUUGGUAUUCCGGGGGGCACACCUGUUCGAGCGCCAUUUCAACCCUCAAGCAUAGCUUGGUGUUGGGUGAGGUCCUAGAAGGGACCCUCCCAUAACCCGUAGGCGGUCAUCAUCCGUACUCCCCUAGCGUAGCAGGCUCAUGGCACUCGCUAAAGGAUGGGGUGAGACCAUGCCUUUACACAAACCAUUUCAAAAGGUUUGGCCUCGGAUCAGGUGGGGAUACCCGCUGAACUUAA